rnacentral:rRNA from 1 species
AUUGAACGCUGGCGGCACGCUUUACACAUGCCAGUCGAACGGCAGCGCGGGCUUCGGCCUGGCGGCGAGUGGCGAACGGGUGAGUAAUGCAUCGGAACGUGCCCAGUAGUGGGGGAUAGCCCGGCGAAAGCCGGAUUAAUACCGCAUACGACCUGAGGGUGAAAGCGGGGGACCGAAAGGCCUCGCGCUAUUGGAGCGGCCGAUGUCGGAUUAGCUAGUUGGUGGGGUAAAGGCUUACCAAGGCGACGAUCCGUAGCUGGUCUGAGAGGACGACCAGCCACACUGGGACUGAGACACGGCCCAGACUCCUACGGGAGGCAGCAGUGGGGAAUUUUGGACAAUGGGGGCAACCCUGAUCCAGCCAUGCCGCGUGCGGGAAGAAGGCCUUCGGGUUGUAAACCGCUUUUGUUCGGGAAGAAAUCCUCUGGGCUAAUACCCCGGGGGGAUGACGGUACCGGAAGAAUAAGCACCGGCUAACUACGUG